GGUGUGCUCUUGUGAUUGUGACUGACACAGGCAGCACCCUUUUGCAGAAGUAGAUGUGCGUUGCUGAGAAAUUUUCUGCCUAAGUUCUGGUUUUCUUUGCAGCACCCAGCAUUUGUUUCUAACACAGGGAAAGAGUGAGCUGGAGAAACCUCUCAAAUUCAAGAAAGCGUAAAGCAAAUUGAACAAUACGGGUGAGGAGCACGGACUAUUCUCUCAUGUUGAAUGUGGCACUUUUUACAUACAAGCAGGAGAGCAACUACACCAAGAUUUUGGAAAACAUGUUAUGUAAGUUUUUAUUUUUAAAAUCAGGAGAGAAUUUCUGCAACAUCCUAUGACCACAGAUCCCUACCCAUCUGCAUUGGGGCACUUACAGAUCACCUUCUCUUCUGAACUUUGUUAAUUGUGACCUCUAUGAUGGGGAUAUGAUAAAGAAGAAAAGUACCUCACAGCGAUGAUUGGCAUGUGAUCACUUAGCCAAUGAGAUAAGAGGCUGUAGAAACGAUGUGAUAAUGACAUCUCCUGAGUUGCAGGUCCAUAUUAGAAGUGGAUAUGAAGUAAACAUUGAGCUUUCCUCACAUUUAAUUAACAAGCUUUAUUAUAGAUACAGCUCAAAUUAGUUAAUUCAGGAAGCUUAUUUUGUAGAAAUUAAAACAUUAAUAAACACAUACAUUUAGAAAUAAAGAACUCGGCUGACCCUUUGACUCUUUGAAACAAGUGGCCUUCCAUGCUGUGAAAGAUUGUAGCCACUCUUUGAGACAUUGGAAUGGUGUCCAUUGCAUUUUAUCAAGUUAACUAUAGGUCAGCCUGGGAAAUCUGAAGUUUCCUUAUCUCCUGUCACUGUGGUUGCUGUGAGAUUUUGUGUCAUCACUGUGCUGUCUUCCCUCUCCACAUGAAGGUGAGCUGUCUGGCUUCACUCUAACGUUUGUGAUUUCACGCCCGACCUGAUUGUUGCCAAGCAAUUCCUUUGUUUGGAGAAUUCUGUGCUUUGUUUAGAAUUUUUUAAAGGUUCUUUUCCUGUGGUCAGAUUUCUGUUUGCUACUGUGUCUUAUGCCUUGUUCUCCUACAGAGAAGAUUCUUUGAAGUUAGUGGAAGCUCAGCUUAAAGGAAGAUCUACUGCUCUGUGUGGUGGAUGACCAUGGGGGAGCGAGAAGGCAGCCUCCGGCUUUUGUUUUGUGUGUGUGUGUGUGUGUGUGUGUGUGUGAUGUACCUGGAAAAAUAACACGACUAGGAUUAAAGAGUAUGUUUGGCAUGUUUAAAAUAAAUUGUAAACCAAACGUAUUUUAAAGAAUUUAUACAAAUUUGUCAUUUAGUAAAAUGAAUGACUAUUGAGUAUUCAUGUCAAUAAAACAACCACUUGAAUACAACAAA
rnacentral:lncRNA from 1 species